rnacentral:tRNA from 1 species
UGCGGGGUGGUGUAAUGGUCGCACAGGGGCCUUUGAAGCCCUUGAUCUAGGUCCGAUUCCUAGCCCCGCAG